rnacentral:rRNA from 1 species
UACCGCAUAAGACCACACUUCCACAUGGGAGAGGGGUCAAAGGAGCAAUCCGCUGAAAGAUGGGCUCGCGUCCGAUUAGAUAGUUGGGGGGGUAACGGCCCACCAAGUCGACGAUCGGUAGCCGGACUGAGAGGUUGAACGGCCACAUUGGGACUGAGACACGGCCCAGACUCCUACGGGAGGCAGCAGUGAGGGAUAUUGGUCAAUGGGGGAAACCCUGAACCAGCAACGCCGCGUGAGGGAAGACGGUUUUCGGAUUGUAAACCUCUGUCCUCUGUGAAGAUAAUGACGGUAGCAGAGGAGGAAGCUCCGGCUAACUACGUGCCAGCAGCCGCGGUAAUACGUAGGGAGCGAGCGUUGUCCGGAUUUACUGGGUGUAAAGGGUGCGUAGGCGGGUAAGCAAGUCAGAAGUGAAAUCCAUGGGCUUAACCCAUGAACUGCUUUUGAAACUGUUUAUCUUGAGUGAAGUAGAGGUAGGCGGAAUUCCCGGUGUAGCGGUGAAAUGCGUAGAGAUCGGGAGGAACACCAGUGGCGAAGGCGGCCUACUGGGCUUUAACUGACGCUGAAGCACGAAAGCGUGGGUAGCAAACAGGAUUAGAUACCCUGGUAGUCCAUGCCGUAAACGAC